rnacentral:lncRNA from 1 species
GAUCUGACUUCGGUGGUUCAUGUGCAGCAGCCUCUUCAUAUCCCAGUGUUACUGCAGCUCCCCCUUAAAGAAGAUAAUCACUCCAGUUAACAGCUCUAUCCGUGGCUGGAAGGUGUUCCCGCAGGCAGAUGGGGACUGCACAUGUCGGAGGAGGCUCUAGAUGGUGCUGCUGUCCCAGGAAAGCGGAGCUGGCCUCUAUUCACCGAUAAUAAAAGC